AUCGAACGCUGGCGGCAGGCCUAACACAUGCAAGUCGAACGAGUGGCGGACGGGUGAGUAAUGUCUGGGAAACUGCCUGAUGGAGGGGGAUAACUACUGGAAACGGUAGCUAAUACCGCAUACCAUCGGAUGUGCCCAGAUGGGUUUAGCUGGGUGGUGGGGUAACGGCUCACCAAGGCGACGAUCCCUAGCUGGUCUGAGAGGAUGACCAGCCACAUUGGAACUGAGACACGGUCCAGAUUCCUACGGGAGGCAGAAGUGGGGAAUAUUGCACAAUGGGCGAAAGCCUGAUGCAGCCAUGCCGGGUGUAUGAAGAGGGCCUUCGGGUUGUAAAGUACUUUCAGCGGGGAGGCGUUACCCGCAGAAGAAGCACCGGCUAACUACGUGCCAGCAGCCGCGGUAAUUC
rnacentral:rRNA from 1 species